AUCUUAAAAUCUCACUUAAAAACGGUACACCUGCCCUUAAUCUACCUAACUGGUGGUACCUCCUCAUAUUCUUAUUUGGUUUAUCCACCUCUAUCUGCCAAAGUUCUCUAAAGGUUAAUCCUCAAAAUCUCUAUCUAUAUUUAUUCUAGAGUCCAAAUAAAUUAAAGUUGUGAUUUUAAAUAACUGCAAAUCAAUGAUUCCAAAAAUGUUAUCUGUGGCCCAGACCUGGACUCCUGAUGUGUCUGUACAGCUCCAUCUGGAAUCUAACAAGUGUAUCAACUCUUGCUCAUCUGAAACUGAGAAAAAAUUAGUCUGCCAGGAGGCUAGUUACUGAGUGCAUCUUGGGACUGCUGAAUGAAACCACACAAUAGCCAAAUCCAGCAAACCUAUUAAGAGCUCACUCCCUACGUUCACACCAGGACAGUUUUAAGUACAGAAAUGGAAGACCACAGCCUGGACGACAGCACAUCUGUAACAGCGCGAUUUACUGACAGUUUAAGCCCACUGUUGAGACCUACUGCUAAGAAGAAGUAUGAUUGUUUUAAAAAUAUUGCUGCUCAUCGACAAUUCACCUGGUCACUCGGGAACUUGGAUGGAGAUGUUUAGGGAAAGUAAUGUUUUCAUGUCUGCUAAUACAGUAUCCACUCUCCAGCCCAGGGAUCCAGGAGCAGUUUGACUCUCAAGUCUUACUAUUAAAUGAGAAAUGCAUUUGAUAAAGGUAUAGCUGUCCUAGAUAGUGAUUUCUUUGAUGGACAAAGUGAAUUGAAAACCUUUUGGAAAGGAUUCACCAUUCUAGAUGCCAUUAAGGACAUUUGUAAUUCAUGGGGGGAGGUUGAAAUAUCAACAGUGACAGGCGUUUGGAAGAAGUUGAUUCCAAGCCUCAUGGAUGACUUUGAGGGUUCAGGAUGUCAGUGGAAGGAGUCCCUGCAGAUGUGGUAGAUAGCAAGACAACUAGAAGUAGAAUUAGAGCCUUAAGGUGGGAUGAAAUUGAUGUGAAAUCAUGAUAAAACUUGAACAAAGGGGGAGUUGCUUCUUAUGGAUGAGAAAAGAAAAUAUUUUCUUGAGAGAGAAACUACUCCAGGUUGAGAUGUCAUGAACAUUGUUGAAACGACAACAAAGGGUUAAAAUAUUCCAUAAACCUAGUUGGUAAAGCAGCAACAGGGUUUGAGAAGGUUUACUCCAAUUUUGAAGGAAGUUCUACUAUGGCUAAAAUGCUGUCAAACAGUAUCACAUGCUACAGGGAAAUGUUGUGUGGAAGGAACAGUGUAUCAAUGCAACACACUUCAUUGUCUUAUUUUAAGAAAUUGCCACAGGCACCCCAAUCUUCAGCAGCAGCCAUCAAUAUAGAUGCAAGAUCCUCACCAAGAAAAAGAUUAUGGCUUGUUCAAGGCUCAGAUAUUUGUUAGUAUUUUAAGCAAUAAAGUAGUAUUUUUAAUUAAGGUACACACAUACUGUUUUUAGACAUAAGAUUAUUAACAUACUCGUUAGACUGCAGUAUCGUUUAAACAUAACUUUUAUAUGCACUCGGAAACCAAAUAAUUUGCAUGACUAACUUCAUUGCAACAUUUGUCUUAUUGCAGUGGUCUUGAACCAAAUCCCCAAUACCUCUGAAGUGAGUUUAUAGUGUUUUUUGUUGUUUUAUGUUUUGAGAUGAGAUCUUGCUCUGUCUCCAAGGCUAGAGUGCAGUGGCAUGAUCACAGCUCACGGUGGUCUUGAACUCCUGGGGUCAAGUGAUCCUCUCACUACAGCCUCCUGAGUAGCUGGGACUACAGGCAUGUGGCACUAUACUUGUCUAAAUUUUAAUUUUUUGUAGAGAUGAGGUUUCACUAUGUUGCCCAGGCUGGUCUUGAACUUCAGGGCUCAAGCAAUUCUCCCUCCUUGGCCUCCCAAAGUGCUGAGAUUUUAGGCAUGAGUCACAGCUCCCAGGUUGUCUAUAGUUUUUAAAACAAAAAUAUAAUUUAAAAGUUAAAAUAGACUUUCACAAAUGUAUAUAUCUACCAUUAUAGCAUAAUAAAGAAUAGUUCCACUGCCUUAAAAACCCUCUGUGCUCUGUGUAUCCACCUCCUCCUUCCCCUUGGUUCUUGGUCCAUGGCAACCAUUGAUCUUUCUGCUGUUCCCAUAGUCUCACCAUUUCCAGAACGUUAUAUAAUUGGAAUCAAACAGGAGGUAGUCUUUUCAGAUUGGCUUCUCUUAGCAAUAUGCAUUUAAGUUUUCUCCACGUUUUUGUGGCUUGAUAGUUCAUCUCUUGUUAGCAGUGAAUAAUAUCCCAUUGCCAUUAUGCUUUUGUCAAGUCUCAGAAUGUACAGCACGAAGGGUGAACCUGAAUGUACACGGUAAGCCUUGAGUGAUAAUGAUGGUUCGGGGAGGUUCCUGGUAGUAACAGGUGUGCUCCUGUGAGGCAGGAAGCUGUAGAGGGGAGGCCGUGUGUGCAGAAAGGGACAUAUGAGAACUCUGUACUCUCUGCUCCAUUUAGUUGUGAACUUCUCUAAAAAAUAAAGUUUAUUAAUGAAAGCUAAAAAACAAAAUAUUAAAAAAAAUAAAGCUACAAUGUGCCAUAUAGUUUCCAAAUCACAAGACAGAGCAAAGACAUAAUAAAACAAAAUGUAGAAAAUAACAAGCAUAAAUGAAAUAAAACAUCAGUCAUAGAAGGCAGAAGACAGAAAAGUGGAGCCAAACACAUUAAUUUAUGUAAUUAUUAAUUGUAUUUAUUUAUGUGGACUUAUAUUGAUUUAACAUAUUAAUUGUGACUAAAUGACAUUAAAGAAGGUUUGAGAAAUUUGCAUUUCACCUUCUGGAUGAGAAGACUCAAUAAUAUUAACUCUUUAAUUUGCUGAAAAUUAUUUUAAAAUAUGCUUACAUUCAAUAAAAAUUUUAUGAAGGAUAUUUUGGAACAAGAAAAUGUGAUUUUAAAUUCAGUCUGAUGAACGAACACACACUGAGAGCCAAUAUUAUAAAAUUAACCUGUGGGGUAUUUAACAUCACUAUAACUUUUCAAAAUUAAACCUUUGAUACGGCACAAAAAUACACAUGUAAACGAAAGGGAAUUAAAAUCCCAGAGAUUUUGUGUAAUUUUAUGUAGUAACAGGGUAACACUGCAAAUCUACAAAUCAAGAGUCAUUAUCCCAUUGAUGGUAUUAAAAUACUGGUUAAUGAUUUGAGAACAUGAAAUGACAGAGUUACAUCAUGAUCCCACCCUAUACAUAGAAGUUAAUUCUAGUGUUAAAUUAAAAAAAUUAAAAAAGAAAAGAAAAUUAGAUCUGUGUGUGUGUUUUCUGACUUGGGAAAUAAUGUCUUUAAAAAUCUUAAUUUCAAAGAGAAACCAUGUAAAAAUUGGAGUAACAAACGAAACUACCUAAAAUGUGAAGUUUUCAUGCAUUUCAACAGUAUGUGAAUAGCAGAGACAAAGAACUGGGGACGUUUUUGCAGUUAUGUUACAUAAAAGUUAAAAUCCUUAUAACACAUGCAAUGCAUAAAACACCAUGAUUGUUGCUGUUGUUACUGCCAUUAUGAUCACCUGGUCUUCCAGCACACCCGUCCUCUGCUGGUGCCCUGUGGUGACACAGCCCUCCCUCUGCUGAGCCAAGGCAGGCUCCAACCCCUGAGCCCCGCCCAGACCCACAGAGGGUGUGAGCCAAGCGGGGAUAUCACAUCCCCUCCUGUAAUGUCACAGACGCACACUUACGACAGAGAUCUGGUCCCUCUCUGGAAAAGUUGUGAAACAAUUAUUGCAGAAACUCGUUUCUCAUGGUUCCAGACACAUGGAGAAAGCUGUUCUGGAAGACUGAUGUCUGCAUGCUAAGAGAAGUGGUCACUCAUACACACACACUGCACAAGCCACACCAUGUGUACAUGCUCACACACAGGCACUGCACAUACACACACCACACACACAUGAACCUACCACACACAUACAGCACCACACAUAUACACACAUACACACACAUACACAUACAGACACCACACAAUACACACAAACACACCACACAGUACAUACAGCACACCAAACACAUAUCACACACACACCACACACUCACACUCUUCACAGACAUCACACACAUACACGCCCACAUACCCAACAGCAUACCUACAAUCCUCACUUUUUGUAAAUUAAUUCAGUUUUUACAGAGCCUGGAUAGUGAAAUGUUCUAUUGGCAUUUGGACGAGCCAAGAAAAUGCAGAUCAAUACACAUGUGUCCCCACAAGGGCACAAGUAACACUUUGGAAAUCAAAACAUUAGAUUAAACCCUGUAAAUUGUUUAUCAUUUUUUUAAAAAACAAGUCUUUCUCAUUUUACUGGAAAAUAUUUGCCAGAGUAAACUAAUGAGAUUCUUACUGAAGUUAAUGAAAUCACAAUUAAAACAUCCGUUCCAUAGUGAAGUAUUUCUUUAAGAUGUUCUUGGUCUCUUUCCCGUUAUGUGGAAUUGUCUAUUCAAAUGUUAAAGGUGACUUUGAGAUGUUUUUCAUCUAUUGUUGUAAAAAAUUUUGAAGGAGUUUUUAAUUCUGCCUUCAAUAGAGAUUGACACACCUCUGAUUAUGAUGUAAAACUGAAAACUUCACACUGACAGGAUUUCUCUUCUGCAGCACAGCUGCCAUUAUGAUUAAUAAGGAUCGAACACUUUCACUCCAUGCAAAAUCUUUAUCACCUGCUUUAUAAAGAAUAGAAAUCUAAUUCUCAGUGUAAAAGCAGAUAAAGAUAAUCCCUUCAACCUACGAAUGUCUGAAUGAUUUACCAAUGCACUUAGACUUUAAAUAGCAUUUAUCAAAUGUGUAUAUAUUUCUAUACAGAUUCAUAUGAAGAACAUGUAGUUUAAAGCAUUUGCAAAUUUUAUGCUUUUAGUGAGUUGUGAUGGUCAAUAAUAUUUCUAUCACAUUUCCCCAAAGGUUAUUAUUUUCAGCUAGAAAUAUAAAAUGUGUUCUCUAUUUUUGAUGCCUUGGAAUCAACAUUAUCACACCCAGAUAUUAUCUGGGUAUAAUAUCUGCAAGAAGCAUAAAAUGAAUAUUCAAACAGUAUGCACUUUUCCACAAUGAAAAUUUUCUCUACGAUAAUAUUUAUCUUCUGUACCUGAUGGGCGCACACAAGUCAGGAUUUCUACAUUGCUAACACACACACACACACACACACACACACACACACACACUCUUGCAUUGUUAUAAUUACCAAAAUGUUUCAAGAGGUGGAUAAAUAAAUCAGCCUUCUUUAAAACAAUGAUUUUUAUGGGGUCUACUAGAAAGUGUGACUGUGGUUUGAGUGAGAUCCCUUUAACAGAUUCAGUGUGGCCACUCUUUAUUCAGUAUCCAAUUUUGAAAAUACAGAAGGGGGCUGGGCGCGGAGGCUCACGCCUAUAAUCCCAGCACUUUGGGAGACUGAGGCGGGUGGAUCUCGAAGUCAAGAGAUCGCGACCAUCCUGGUCAACAAGGUGAAACCCCGUCUCUACUAAAAAUACAAAAAAUUAGCUGGGCAUGGUGGCGCAUUCCUGUAAUCCCAACUACUCAGGAGGCUGAGGCAGGAGAAUUGCCUGAACCCAGGAGGCGGAGGUUGCGGUGAGCUGAGAUCGCGCCAUUGCACUCCAGCCUGGGUAACA